UACGUAGGUGGCGAGCGUUGUCCGGAUUUACUGGGCGUAAAGAGCGCGCAGGCGGUCGUUCAAGUCGCGUGUGAAAGCCCCCGGCUCAACUGGGGAGGGUCACGCGAUACUGAUCGACUCGAAGGCAGGAGAGGGAAGUGGAAUUCCCGGUGUAGUGGUGAAAUGCGUAGAGAUCGGGAGGAACAUCUGUGGCGAAGGCGGCCAUCUGGACCAGCACUGACACUGAGGCACGAAAGCGUGGGGAGCAAACAGG
rnacentral:rRNA from 1 species